rnacentral:rRNA from 1 species
AUUGAACGCUGGCGGCAUGCCUAACACAUGCAAGUCGAACAGCAGCACAGUAAAGACUUCGGUCUUUAUGGGUGGCGAGUGGCGGACGGGUGAGUAACGCGUAGGAAUCUGUCCUGGAGGGUGGGAUAACGCGAGGAAACUCGGGCUAAUACCGCAUGAUAUCGAGAGAUCAAAAGCAGGGGACCCUUCGGGGCCUUGCGCUCUAGGAUGAGCCUACGUCGGAUUAGCUAGUUGGUGGGGUAAAGGCCUACCAAGGCGACGAUCCGUAGCUGGUCUGAGAGGAUGACCAGCCACACUGGGACUGAGACACGGCCCAGACUCCUACGGGAGGCAGCAGUGGGGAAUCUUGGACAAUGGGGGAAACCCUGAUCCAGCGAUGCCGCGUGUGUGAAGAAGGCCUUCGGGUUGUAAAGCACUUUAGUUGGGGAAGAAAAGUAAUAAGUAUAUAAUUUAUUGCUUUGACGGUACCCAAAGAAUAAGCACCGGCUAACUCUGUGCCAGCCGCCGCGGUAA